AUUGGGCAGAGGAUGAAUCUCAAUAACAAAUGGGUAAUUUGCGUCUGAAGCAUUUCGAUGAUGCUAAAUCACCUUGGAGAACUGAUGCCUUUG